rnacentral:miRNA from 2 species
AUUCCUAGAAAUUGUUCAUA